GACUUUGAUCGUAUCUCAGAAUAAAGGCCGGCAGUGUGCUUAAAUCAUCCAAGUCGUUUGUCAUCGGGCCUCCUGAUGAAUGGUGCUGGCACUCGAUUGACGUUGGAUCACCAGUGAGUGGCUGACGAGUGUGUGACAUGUAGGUAUCAUGCCCCGGAGCGGAGUAUAACAUGGAAAACAGAUGCUAAUACGGCAUAACACACAAAAGCCAUCAUGGCUUUUGUUUGCAAGAUGGCUUUGUUUAUCACUCCGCGAUGGACAUGCGUGUGCAUUAGAUAGUUGGUAUGGUAGUGGGUUUACACGGUGGUGAUGCAUAGCGGAGUUGAGAGAGUGAUUCACCACAAUGCAUGUGAGACUCGGUCCAUACUCUUACGGGAAGCCGCAGUACGGAAUCUUCCGCAAUGCGGCCAAGCGUGAUGGAGCACCACCGCGUGAGUCAAGAAGGAUUUAGGCUGGUAAAGUUAUGUUGUAUGUGAAGAACGUGAGUUAGAUUAACUGUUCAGACAAUGACGGUAUCCAACCAGAAAGUCCCGGCUAACUACGUGCCAGCAGCCGCGGUAAUACGUAGGUGGCAAGCGUUAUCCGGAUUUAUUGGGUGUAAAGGGAGCGCAGGCGUUGGUCAAGUCUGAAGGAAAAGCCUUGGCCCAACCCAGGAACCGCUUUGGAAACCGGCCGACUUGAGUGCAGAAGAGGUCAGUGGAAUUCCUAGUGUAGCGGUGGAAUGCGUAGAUAUUAUGGAAGAACACCAGUGGCGAAGGCGGCUGUCUGGUCUGCAACUGACGUUGAGGCUCGAAAGCAUGGGAGCGAACAGGAUUAGAUACCCUGGUAGUCCAUGCCGUAAACGAUGACUACUAGGUGUCGGAGGGUAUCCGCCCCCCAGUGCCGGAGCUAACGCACUAAGCAAUCCGGAUGGGGAGUGCCGCCCGCAGGGUUGAACUCAAAGGAACAGAUGGGAGCCGGCGACAAGUGAAUGCAGCGAACUGGCAUAUAUUUUAACGCUACUGAGAAAAACCUAAGCAGGUAGAGACAUCUUGAGUCAGCCGGAGUGAUAAGAUGUUGCUUUCGCCCAUGCAACAACAUUCGGCGCAUGGUCGUCCUGAGGUAGUGUGGUGAGAGUUUCAGUCAAAUACGUGCCAGUUGAGCAUCCCAGGCUGGUAGUUGAUAGCAGUAAGGGGGGCACUUUACCCAGCCAACUGGUGACUAACAGGAGGAUGCAUGGUAUACCGCCAGAUUAUUUCACACUGUAUCAUGUGGAACACAGAGGUGAUACAAUAGUAGCACCAAUGAGU
rnacentral:rRNA from 1 species